rnacentral:lncRNA from 1 species
AAAAAAGAAAAAAAUGACGAACACGAAAAUAGACAAAUCACAAAUAGAAAAUAAAAGAACGCACAUAUUUAAUUAUGUGAAAAAUCUUUUGCAGAAAAAAAUUACGAGUGAGGGAGGAGAGCUUCACUAUUGAACGAAAAAAAAAAUACAACGUUUAUAGUACAAUCAAUAUGUUGCCUCGAUCUCGGGCAAAAUGAAGAAACAAAUUCUUAACGGAUUCAAGAUCCAAUCUGAUCGGGCUCAAGCCUAUCAAGCCGAGUCCUCCGCUAUCCACUACAUAUAUUAAUUUUUUUCUUCACAAUUUAUUUUUCAAAUUAGUUGCACCGCGAAACUAUCGACUGGUCGGAGUUCUAAAACUGAAGUCGAUUACCAAUUUCAAGGUACAUCUAACAACAAAUUAAUUAUACAGAGAAUAUACUUUAGUGGUUAAGAGAAUAUAAUUA